UACGGAGGGUGCAAGCGUUGCUCGGAAUUAUUGGGCGUAAAGGGCAGGUAGGUGGUCUCGUUUGUCUGGGGUGAAAGCCUUGAGCUUAACUCAAGAAGUGCCUCAGAAACGGCGAGACUAGAGUUCUGGAGAGGGUCGUGGAAUUCCCGGUGUAGCGGUGAAAUGCGUAGAGAUCGGGAGGAACACCAGAGGCGAAGGCGGCGACCUGGACAGAUACUGACACUCAACUACGAAAGCGUGGGUAGCAAACAGG
rnacentral:rRNA from 1 species